rnacentral:rRNA from 1 species
CUGGGCGUAAAGCGCGCGUAGGCGGUUUGUUAAGUCGGAUGUGAAAUCCCCGGGCUCAACCUGGGAAUUGCCUUCGAUACUGGCCGACUAGAGUACGAGAGAGGGAGGUAGAAUUCCACGUGUAGCGGUGAAAUGCGUAGAUAUGUGGAGGAAUACCGGUGGCGAAGGCGGCCUCCUGGCUCGAUACUGACGCUGAGGUGCGAAAGCGUGGGUAGCAAACAGGAUUAGAUACCCUGGUAGUCCACGCCGUAAACGAUGUCUACUAGCCGUUGGGAGACUUGAUUUCUUAGUGGCGCAGCU